rnacentral:rRNA from 1 species
UACGUAGGAGGCAAGCGUUGUCCGGAUUUACUGGGCGUAAAGCGCGCGCAGGCGGCAUGGCAAGUAAGGUGUGAAAUCUCCCUGCCUAACGGGGAGGGUGCAUUUUAGACUGCCAAGCUAGAGGACGGUAGAGGGGGGUAGAAUUGCUGGUGUAGCGGUGAAAUGCGUAGAUAUCAGGAGGAACACCGGUGGUGUAGACGGCUUUCUGGACCGUAACUGACGCUGAGACACGAAAGCGUGGGUAGCAAACAGG